rnacentral:misc_RNA from 1 species
GCGGAGGAAAAGAAACCAACAGGGAUUGCCUCAGUAACGGCGAGUGAAGCGGCAACAGCUCAAAUUUGAAAUCUGGCUCCUUCGGGGCCCGAGUUGUAAUUUGCAGAGGAUGCUUCGGGUACGGGUUCCUUCCGAGUUCCCUGGAACGGGACGCCAUAGAGGGUGAGAGCCCCGUCUGGUAGGACACCCAGCCCGUGUGAAGCUCCCUCGACGAGUCGAGUAGUUUGGGAAUGCUGCUCUAACGGGAGGUAUACUCCUUCCAAGGCUAAAUACCGGCUGGAGACCGAUAGCGCACAAGUAGAGUGAUCGAAAGAUGAAAAGCACUUUGAAAAGAGAGUCAAAUAGCACGUGAAAUUGUUGAAAGGGAAGCGCUCGCUACCAGACAUGGGUUCGGCGGUUCAACCGGGGCCACGCCCCGGGGCACUCCGCCGGCCCAGGCCAGCAUCAGCUUUCCGUCGGGGGCAAAGGCGUCGGGAAUGUGGCUCUCCUUCGGGGGAGUGUUAUAGCCCGGCGUGUCAUACCCUUCGGGGGGCUGAGGUACGCGCUUCUGCAAGGAUGCUGGCGUAAUGGUAGCUAGUGACCCGUCUUGAAACACGGACCAAGGAGUCAACCUUAUGUGCGAGUGCCCGGGCGUAAAACCCCAGCGCGGAAUGAAAGUGAACGUAGGUGAGAGCUUCGGCGCAUCACCGACCGAUCCUGAUGUCCUCGGACUGAUUUGAGAGAGAGCAUAUAGGGUUGGACCCGAAAGAAGAUGAACUAUGCGUGUGUAGGGUGAAUCCAGAGGAAACUCUGGUGGAGGCUCGCAGCGGUUCUGACGUGCAAAUCGA